ACCUCUCAUCCUGUCAGCCCCUUCUUCAUGAUGGGAGGUGCUUGGGGUAAGCCACCGAAGGAGCUGAUAGGGAGAGAUCACAUGCGAAAGAGGGGAAGGGAGGGGAGAGGCAGGGCGGGGAGAACUCUGUUGGAAGGGCUGACCCCAGUAAGGGGGUGGGGUUGGGCGGGGGGGCUGCUUCUGGCCCUGAGCUAAUAAAAACCCCUUCUGGGCUGGGACCCCAGCAGCUCCUACAAUGGCGGCUUUUCUCCUGCUUCUCUCCCUGACCCUCCUGGCCAGCCCAGCCUGGGCUAGCACAGGCCUGAUCUCCAAGGAUCAUCGGCAGGAACCCACCCUCCAGAGCCAGCAGCACCAGCAAGACAGCUCCUUCUUGGAGGGAUCAGCCCAAGUGACCUGUAGCAGCUGUCAGAUCAUCAUGCAGAAACUUAAGGACAUGGUUGGGAACAACACCAAGGACAUGGAGGCGAUUAAGCGUGCGGAGAACCAGUUGUGCAAGUUUGUGAGUUUUAUCCUCCGGAAGUCCUGCCAGACUCUCAUGUUGAAAUACUUGCUCCCCAUCGCCAUUGCUGUUCGGCUGGGCAAGUCUCCCCGGGACGUCUGCGUGGGCAUCAAGUUCUGCAAGAAUAAGGAAGCCUGGGCCGGCACAGGCCUGAUCCCCAAGGACCACAAGCAGGAACCAGCUCUCUGGCACCAGCAGCACCAUCAAGACAGCCGCUUAACGGGGGACCUGCUUGACCGGAAGGUGUCACCCCGUUUCAUCUGCAGCACCUGUCAAGUCAUCAUGACGAAGCUUAAAGAGCUGGUUGGGGACAAUUCUGACGAUAUGAAUGAGAUUAAGAAGGCAGAGAAGCAGGUGUGCAGCUCUGUGAGCUUCUAUCUCCGGUGGGCCUGCGAGAAACUCAUAAAGAAGUUCUUCCUCCCCAUCGCCAGAGACUUCUUAAGCGGCAAGAAUCCCCGGCAGGUCUGCGAGGACAUCAAGAUCUGCAAGCCUAAGAAAGGCCCUGAGGGACAUGGUUCAGAGGACGGGAGUGGACAUAGGGAGCCCAGGCUGCUCACUCUAGCCCAAAUACAGCACCAGGAUGCCGGGGAGAAGAUCCUGGAGUCUGAAUCUGCCCUUGAGAAGAGGACUCUGGAGGAAGAGUGGUCCCAGCCUGCCAAAAGGUCCCUUCGGAGAUACUGAUCCUGCUCAGAAGCUUCAGCGGUUCUGUCCAUGCACCCCCUCCCCCCCCCGAUCUGCCAACACCCCCACUCCAACUUGCAGCCCCUCCCCCUGGCUUUUCCAGAGAAUAAAAUGUCAUGAACGCACUGGGCUUCAGUGAUGGAUGUGGAGGGAGGAAACCUAAUGCUUUGGCAGGGCUGAAGCAGUGUCCACAGGUGCACCCGCCAGGGCAGGGCAUCAUCAUCCCUGCUGCCCCGAAGCCCUGCCCACCGCCUCUUUGGGUCCAUUCCCUUUGUCCGAGCUGCCAGGGUGGCCCUGCCCUGGGGGAGCAGGCAGGGCUAGGGCAACAACGGACAGGCUGGCAGGGCGGACACAGGUCAAGGCGCGUGCUCUUCCUGGAUCUCUCAUACCAUCCCCAGGAGGCAGGUCUUCUCAGAUCCAUUUUUACAGGCGGGGGAAACUGAGGUCUGGCAAGU
rnacentral:lncRNA from 1 species